rnacentral:rRNA from 1 species
GACGAACGCUGGCGGCGUGCUUAACACAUGCAAGUCGAACGGGAAGGCCCUGCUUUUGUGGGGUGCUCGAGUGGCGAACGGGUGAGUAACACGUGAGUAACCUGCCCUUGACUUUGGGAUAACUUCAGGAAACUGGGGCUAAUACCGGAUAGGAGCUCCUGCUGCAUGGUGGGGGUUGGAAAGUUUCGGCGGUUGGGGAUGGACUCGCGACUUAUCAGCUUGUUGGUGGGGUAGUGGCUUACCAAGGCUUUGACGGGUAGCCGGCCUGAGAGGGUGACCGGCCACAUUGGGACUGAGAUACGGCCCAGACUCCUACGGGAGGCAGCAGUGGGGAAUAUUGCACAAUGGGCGGAAGCCUGAUGCAGCAACGCCGCGUGCGGGAUGACGGCCUUCGGGUUGUAAACCGCUUUCGCCUGUGACGAAGCGUGAGUGACGGUAAUGGGUAAAGAAGCACCGGCUAACUACGUG